AUUGAACGCUGGUGGCAGGCCUAACACAUGCAAGUCGAGCGGCAUCGAGYGAUCGCAGUUUACUGAGUUCAUGUCGGCGAGCGGCGGACGGGUGAGUAAAGUCUGGGAAUCUGGCCGAAGGAGGGGGAUAACUGCUGGAAACGGCAGCUAAUACCGCAUGAAGUCGCGAGACCAAAGUGGGGGACCUUCGGGCCUCACGCCUUCGGAUGAGCCCAGAUGAGAUUAGCUGGUAGGUAAGGUAAAGGCUUACCUAGGCGACGAUCUCUAGCGGGUCUGAGAGGAUAGCCCGCCACACUGGAACUGAGACACGGUCCAGACUCCUACGGGAGGCAGCAGUGGGGAAUAUUGCACAAUGGGCGAAAGCCUGAUGCAGCC
rnacentral:rRNA from 1 species